GGGCAGGUCCCACGGUGGGGCUGCCGCAGCCAGGCUCCAUGGGGUGGGGCACCCUGCGACAGGGGCUGCUCCUCUUCCCAGGGCCACCGGUGAGACCCUCAGUGCAUAGAGUGCGGUUCCAUGUGGAAGUUGUGGGAUGCGUCUCCUGGCCCUCCCAUAGUGGGAUGCAACCCCAAGUGAAGACCCCAUGGCUCGUGUCAAGUGCCGUCAGGGCUGGGGCUGCCCACUCGCCUGCCUGGGCCGUCUUGACACUGGAGCUGCCUGCCUGGAUGUUGGAGCACCCGGAGGAUUGACUGGGAAGUGGGCCUGGGUGCUUACAGGCGAUGGGGUCACCAGAGCCCACCCAGGGGCCUCACCUAUCCCCCAUUCUCAUCCCAUACUCUGGGAGGCGGUACAAGGUCGGGAGGGCCAGCGGGGCUCUCUGCCACCAGGACUCACUUCCGCCUCUCUUGGAACUGGGCCUCGCUUUCCUGCGAGCUUCUCCUGGGUUCUCAGUGCCCACCAGCAGCUCCUUUGCUCUCCCUGAGCCCUUGAGGUCACUCUGCCUUGGGAAUGGGGAGGGUUUGGGUCUCAGCCUCACGCUCAUGGUCCUGGCUCAGAUUUUAGCCCUGAGUGGCACUCUGGGAGCACUUGUGCUCUUCAUGGUUGCCAUUGGGAUUUUCCAGGAGGCUCUGUGGCAUUUGCUGUUGCUCUCUCUCAAUGUGGAAACUCUGCCUUGCUUUUUUUUUUUCCCUUUUGUCCGCUCUGUAGGUGCUCGAGGGGGGAGUUGCAGAUCCAGCAGAGACUCGACGGCACUCUCUCACUGGAUCUGAUGUGACUCAAGAGUGAUGGGGAGACAGGAUGUGCCGCAGAGUCCUCGGUGCUGCAGGGCGCACAGCUGAUUGCCGUGGCCUCCUCGGACCCCGCUGCGGCGGGCGUGGAUGGGUCGCCACUCCAGGGCAGUGACAUCCAGGUUCAGUACGUGCAGCUGGCGCCGGUGAGUGACCACACGGCCGGGGCGCAGACGGCCGAAGCCCUGCAGCCCACGCUACAGCCGGAGAUGCAGCUCGAGCACGGGGCCAUCCAGAUCCAGUGAGCGGUGCCCACGGCACCAGGAGCCCCCGGCACCAGGAGCCCCUCGCGGGCUCUGCCUACAGCCCGGCCCCCACGCGCCCUGCUCUCGCGGCCUCGGCACAGGCAGCGGCUGCACCUGUUCUGCUGAAGUGCGUCUGAAGGCUGCUGCCUCCGCGGGGAAGAGCAUCCUAUCAACUGAAAGAGCAGCCGCCGCCGCCCCCAGCCGGAGACCCCUUUCGUUUGAGUCAUGAUGUUGGUGUUGGAGGACGAGGGGAGGCACAGUGCGGAGAGCAUCGCGUAUGCGCAGGAAAUCAAGAACUAUGAUAUUUUUCUGUUUAAACAGCUUUUUUUAAUUUGCUAUGGUGUUUAUAACAAAAAAAGAAAAUUUGAAAAAAAAAUCCCAGGGGAGUAGCAGGAGCCCUUUGCUGUGUGCUCUGUCUAGUGUCAUGAGACGAGAGCCCUUUGCUGUGUGCUCUGUCCAGUGUCAUGAGGCAGGUGUUUGCAAAGCCAGCUCUCGGUUCCGAUGGGGUAUUGCUGACCUACUUUUCUAGGGGAAAUGCUCUCAAACACUGUAAUUAUGCAUUUCUAAUGAAAUAAAAUGUAUUUAUGACCACA
rnacentral:sRNA from 1 species